rnacentral:rRNA from 1 species
AUCAACCCACUCUAGCCCUCAAAAUACAAGCCCAAUCAAGUUAACUACACUAAACCAAAACAUUUUUAUGCCCAAGUACCGGUGAGAGAAAAGACAACAGGCGCAAUAGAGACAGUACCGCAAGGGAAAGAUGAAAUAAAAAUUUAACACAAAAGUACAACACAGCAAAGAUUAACCCUUUUACCUUUUGCAUUAUGGUUUAGCCAAACAUAACCGCGGCAAAGAGCACUAAAGUCACCUGCACCCGAAUCUGGGCGAGCUACUAGCCAGCAGAAGUAACACAGCGCUAACCCAUCUCUGUAGCAAAAGAGCGGGAAGACUGCCUAGUAGAAGUGAAAAGCCUAACGAGCCCAGUGAUAGCUGGUUGCUUGGGAAUAGAAUUUAAGUUCUACUGAAAACCUUCUGAUUUACCACAACAAAGGACAAAGAAAGCUUUCAAGCUAUUUAAUGGGGGUACAGCCCCAUUAACACAGGACUCAACCUCUACCUAAGGGUAAAACUAACUCGCACUUUAAAUGUAGGCUUUAAAGCAGCCAACACAACGAAAGCGUCAAAGCUCGCACCAAAAAAAUACCUACAACAAAAUUAAACCCUACAACACAACCAAGCCUUUCUAAAACAUUAGAAGAGAUUAUGCUAAAAUUAGUAAUAAGAAGUUUGAUCUUCUCCUGAGCGCGAGCCUACACUACUCAUGACACACUGUUGGUAAUUAACACCCCGCCCAACUACCACAAAAAUAAGGGCCACACACUGUUAACCCAACACAGGAGCGCAACAGGAAAGGCUAAACCCUGCAAAAGGAACUCGGCAAACAAAGAUUCCGACUGUUUACCAAAAACACAGCCCCCAGCCAGCCAAGUAUUGGGGGUGAUGCCUGCCCAAUGACUUUAAGUUAAAUGGCCGCGGUAUCUACAACCGUGCGAAGGUAGCGUAAUCAUUUGUUCUUUAAAUAAGGACCAGUAUGAAGGGCUAAACGAGAAUCUAUCUGUCUCUUGCAGAGGCCAGUGAAAUUGAUCUUCCUGUGCAAAGCAGGGAUGUCAACAUUAGACGAGUAGACCCUGUGAAACUUCAAACCCCUAAAUCACAACAAGUUGUAAAAUACCAACCCAAGCGGGCUGACUACAGCUAUCACACCGAUUUAGCGUUUUCGGUUGGGGCGACCCCAAAAUAAAAAAAACUUUCCAGGAAAACAGUAACACGACACCUACUGACCAAGACCCACACCACAAAGUGCUUAAAUGUAAUCAGAUCCGGCACACGCCGACUCAUGAACCAAGCUACUCCAGGGAUAACAGCGCAAUCCCCCUCAAGAGCCCGUAUCGACAGGGGGGUUUACGACCUCGAUGUUGGAUCAGGACAUCCUAAUGGUGUAACCGCUAUUAAUGGUUCGUUUGUUCAACGAUUAAAGUCCUACGUGAUCUGAGUUCAGACCGGAGCAAUCCAGGUCGGUUUCUAUCUAUGAAUGCGAACCUUUCCAGUACGAAAGGACCGAAAGAGCAAGGCCCAUGCCACUAAAGUAAGCCUUACCUAAAGCUUAAUGAAAACAACUAAAUUAACAACCAGGACAAUCACACCCCACCUCAAUAUAAGAGCA